rnacentral:rRNA from 1 species
GGAGGAAAGCAGGGGAUCGAAAGACCUUGCGCUUUUGGAGCGGCCGAUGUCUGAUUAGCUAGUUGGUGGGGUAAUGGCCUACCAAGGCGACGAUCAGUAGUUGGUCUGAGAGGACGACCAGCCACACUGGGACUGAGACACGGCCCAGACUCCUACGGGAGGCAGCAGUGGGGAAUUUUGGACAAUGGGCGCAAGCCUGAUCCAGCAAUGCCGCGUGAGUGAAGAAGGCCUUCGGGUUGUAAAGCUCUUUCAGUCGAGAAGAAAGGGCUGCAGUGAAUAACUGUAGUUUAUGACGGUAUCGACAGAAGAAGCACCGGCUAACUACGUGCCAGCAGCCGCGGUAAUACGUAGGGUGCGAGCGUUAAUCGGAGGUACUGGGCGUAAAGGGUGCGCAGGCGGUUUUGUAAGUCAGAUGCGAAAUCCCCC